rnacentral:rRNA from 1 species
GAUGAACGCUGGCGGCGUGCUUAACACAUGCAAGUCGAACGGAAAGGCCCAAGCUUGCUUGGGUACUCGAGUGGCGAACGGGUGAGUAACACGUGGGUGAUCUGCCCUGCACUUCGGGAUAAGCCUGGGAAACUGGGUCUAAUACCGGAUAGGACCACUUCUUGGAUGUUGUGGUGGAAAGUUUUUUCGGUGUGGGAUGAGCUCGCGGCCUAUCAGCUUGUUGGUGGGGUAAUGGCCUAACACGGCGUCGACGGGUAGCCGGGCUGAGAGGGUGUACGGCCACAAUGGGAAUGAGAUAAGGGCCAGACUCCUACGGGAGGCAGCAGUGGGGAAUAAUGCAAAAUGGGGGGAAGCCUGAUGCAGCGACGCCGGGGGGGGGAUGAAGGCCUUCGGGGUGUAAACUCCUUUCGCUAGGGACGAAGCGUUUUGUGACGGUACCUGGAGAAGAAGCACCGGCUAACUACGUG